AAUAAUUGUGAUUCUAUGUUCUAGUUGUUUCCAUAUUUUGAGAAAAUAAUUAUAUAUUAGAAAUUAACCACUAAUUUUUUAGGAUUAACUUUUUAACUAGAUUUUAAUCGAUGAGUGUAACACCUCAAAAUUUGCCCUCCUCUCUUGGGACUAGCAUUAACAUAUUUACAUAUCAUUUUAGGACAUUAGGCAUCUCAUAUUGCAUAGCAUGUGGUUACAUAGUGC
rnacentral:lncRNA from 1 species